GUAGUGCUACAUAAAGCAUGUAAUAAAAAAAAAUAAAAAAACACCUCGGGCACCACCCAGUGCGAUUGGCAAAAAUCCACCGCUCCCUUUUCCGAUGCACCAAUCAGGGCCAAGGAAGGUGUCUUAAGUGCUUGUCAAUGACU